AGAUAUUUGAUGACAUGAAAUGAUGGAAUAGCGCUAUUCAACGUAAAAGGGGCUGGGUUAGUGUCGAAAAACACGCUUGAGGUAGUAUUUUCAUAUAGACGAUGGAGAAUAGAUACACGAUUAUACUCUGGGUCCGCUAAUGUAGCGUAAUAAUCUUCAUACGUUAUUAUUACAUUUUUCAAUUCCUUGUACGUUGGAUUGGCUACACGCCGUGCACCUGCCUUCAAAAGUAACGCUACAAUUUCUGGAAAAUUUAGCUGCUCGGCCCAGACAAGAAUACUACAUUCGUUAACUUCUGUAUUUACAUUAAACCCAUAUUCCACAAAUUUGUUGAAUGCAACAGUAUCGCCAUGCA
rnacentral:lncRNA from 1 species